CCUACGGGUGGCAGCAGUGAGGAAUAUUGGUCAAUGGGCGCGAGCCUGAACCAGCCAAGUAGCGUGAAGGAUGACUGCCCUACGGGUUGUAAACUUCUUUUAUAAAGGAAUAAAGUGAGGCACGUGUGCCUUGUUGUGUGUACUUUAUGAAUAAGGAUCGGCUAACUCCGUGCCAGCAGCCGCGGUAAUACGGAGGAUCCGAGCGUUAUCCGGAUUUAUUGGGUUUAAAGGGAGCGUAGGCUGUUAGGUAAGUCAGCGGGGAAAUGCCCCCGCUCAACGGGGUGAAGUGCCAUUGAUACUGGCAUGCUGGAAUGCGGAUGCGGUGGGAGGAAUGUGUGGUGUAGCGGUGAAAUGCAUAGAUAUCACACAGAACACCGAGUGCGAAGGCAUCUCACGAAUCCGCGAUUGACGCUGAUGCACGAAAGCGUGGGUAUCAAACAGGAUUAGAUACCCGUGUAGUC
rnacentral:rRNA from 1 species